rnacentral:rRNA from 1 species
GUGGGGAAUUUUGGACAAUGGGCGAAAGCCUGAUCCAGCCAUGCCGCGUGCAGGAUGAAGGCCUUCGGGUUGUAAACUGCUUUUGUACGGAACGAAAAGACUCCUUCUAAUAAAGGGGGUCCAUGACGGUACCGUAAGAAUAAGCACCGGCUAACUACGUGCCAGCAGCCGCGGUAAUACGUAGGGUGCAAGCGUUAAUCGGAAUUACUGGGCGUAAAGCGUGCGCAGGCGGUUAUAUAAGACAGAUGUGAAAUCCCCGGGCUCAACCUGGGAACUGCAGUUGUGACUGUAUAGCUAGAGUACGGUAGAGGGGGAUGGAAUUCCGCGUGUAGCAGUGAAAUGCGUAGAUAUGCGGAGGAACACCGAUGGCGAAGGCAAUCCCCUGGACCUGUACUGACGCUCAUGCACGAAAGCGUGGGGAGCAAACAGGAUUAGAAACCCCGGUAGUCC